AACAGCCCUCUCUCCAUUGAUAAACGUCUUCAGGCUUUUUUUCCUUAGAAAGGCGUCUUUUGGCUCAUGUUGGUGUUUCUCUCUCUCUCUCUCUCUUUUUUUUUAUGAUGUUCAGGGGUGUUUACCGACUGGGGCUUAGUCAAUAACACAACUCCUCUGGGGGUUGCUUCUGCUGAACAAGAGAGGGAAAGCGAAAGUCGUCAGAAUCGGCUUUGCUUGGGAAGGGUUAGUUUUGAAAAGCCCUUCCUUGCCAAUUAUGCUCCUUCAUAGCUAUAGAUCCAUACUCAAGAGGAGUGUGAGGCUGACACCGACACUCGCGGGGGCAAGCAGAAGUGUCUCUGUAACCCUACUCUGAAAAACAGAAUUGUCAUCGUGUCCAUUCCUACAUAAUUCACAUUGAAGGUGCUUUCUUCAUUUUGAUACACUGUAGGAUUUUAGUAGAGGAAAAAGAAAGCAUUAAAGUGAAUAUUGUUCUGUGGAGAUUUCCUUAUAGUGGCAUAAAUUCUGUGUUCAAUUUAGCAUUCAUUAAGGGUGUUGAUUUAUUUACUGUCUAUUUUAUUAUUAAACGAAUGUGCUUACCACUCCACUUGGCCAUGGGAGGAUAAUGCAAUCAUUGCAAUAUGGAAGCAGAAAUAUCUAAAUUGUGUUGGUAAAACUAUGAGUUUGCAUUAAUAGUAAUUCUAUAAAUGGAAUGCAUAAUUUCAUAAAUGAUGCAUUGUACUGGGGUACAUUUCUUUUAUAAGUAUUUCAAAUCAAAUUGUGGGUAAUGACUGGGAAGUAGUUAAAAGAAAUACAACAAACUUGAACGGAAUCGUUUUGUUUGGAUCAGCCUUUGUCCUCAGGAACUUGAAUGUCCAUUUUGCAAGUCCCUCAUCAUGAAUUCUAUGGCUGCAAGGAACAUAUGUCCCGAGUCCUCACACUCUGUCUUAUCAUCAGACUAUGUAUCUCCCAAUUUGUUCUGAUUCAUGAUUUCAAUAAGACCCCACACCCUCAGCCUGGGUUGUGUUCCCCCAACUCACUGGAAAGCUCCUCCAAAAUAAAUAAUAAUUGCCCUUAACUCUAGUUGACAUCUGACUUCCUUUCCUCUCUUUGAGUAAUUUUGGUGUGUACUUCCACAUCCUGUACUGUUAAGACGGGUUUCAUUUCCAGUAUGUCAGUCAUUGUCAGCACACACAUAAGCUGCUUCCAAGAGUCGAAAGGCUCUAGGUUACUGUACAUUUAUAACAGCAAUUUUCUAUGUAGCCCUUUCUCAAGCAACUCAUCUAUACUUUUAUUCUAAGGUGAUCUGUAACCUUUCACCUUUACCUAAUAAACAGAUAGUAUGUGCCUAAUGUGCUGAAAGCAAUAAAAACCAAAUGUGACACAAUGUUCCCCUUCUUGUAUAAACAUGUCUGUAGUUUUUAUGCAGCCCAAGUGCACUUUUGUGUUCACGGGCAAUAGCUAAAUAGGGUUGAACACUGACUGUCUGAGCUGUGCAGUGGACUGCGUAACGAAAUAGAAGGAUGAAGUUUGUAAUGUGAAAAUAAGGAAAUGAAGCUUAGUGAUGUUAAAUAACAAGGAAGUUCAUCAACUAGCAAGCAGCAAAGCCGCAAGUCAACCCAGGACUGCUGGACUCCACAACCUGCUAACUUUCCACUCUGUCACUCUGCUUUAGAAAAAUAAGGGGCUUUUUUUUAACCCACAUGCAAUACAAAUUCUAUUUCAGCAAAGGAAGAAUUUACUACGAGUUUUUAAAUGUUGACAUGGUCUCCUUAGGGAAGAGGCUGUGGAAUUGUCUUCUUUGGAGGUCUAUUAAAACCAGAUCAGUUAUCAUA
rnacentral:lncRNA from 1 species